rnacentral:rRNA from 1 species
CCUACGGGGUGCAGCAGUGAGGAAUAUUGGUCAAUGGACGCAAGUCUGAACCAGCCAUGCCGCGUGCAGGAUGACGGCUCUAUGAGUUGUAAACUGCUUUUGUACGAGGGUAAACCCCGAUACGUGUAUCGGGUUGAAAGUAUCGUACGAAUAAGGAUCGGCUAACUCCGUGCCAGCAGCCGCGGUAAUACGGAGGAUGCGAGCGUUAUCCGGAUUUAUUGGGUUUAAAGGGUGCGUAGGCGGUUUGAUAAGUUAGAGGUGAAAGGUCGGGGCUCAACCCCGAAACUGCCUCUAAUACUGUUGGACUAGAGAAUAGUUGCGGUAGGCGGAAUGUAUGGUGUAGCGGUGAAAUGCUUAGAGAUCGUACAGAACACCGAUUGCGAAGGCAGCUUACCAAACUAUAUCUGACGUUGAGGCACGAAAGCGUGGGUAGCGAACAGGAUUAGAUACCCGGGUAGUC